rnacentral:pre_miRNA from 10 species
CAGCUCCUCUUGCUCCGCCCACCCGGCCGCCACGCGGCAGCCGGAUAGGGGCCUUGGGGCAACGC